UACGGAGGGUGCGAACGUUGCUCGGAAUCAUUGGGCGUAAAGCGCACGUAGGCGGCGAAAAAAGUUGGGUGUGAAAGCCCUGGGCUCAACCCAGGAAGUGCAUUCAAAACUGCUUCGCUUGAAUCUCGGAGGGGGUCAGAGAAUUCCCGGUGUAGAGGUGAAAUUCGUAGAUAUCGGGAGGAAUACCAGUGGCGAAGGCGCUGACCUGGACGAAGAUUGACGCUGAGGUGCGAAAGCGUGGGGAGCAAACAGG
rnacentral:rRNA from 1 species